rnacentral:rRNA from 1 species
UGGGGAAUAUUGGACAAUGGGGGCAACCCUGAUCCAGCCAUGCCGCGUGAGUGAUGAAGGCCCUAGGGUUGUAAAGCUCUUUCAACGGUGAAGAUGAUGACGGUACCCGGAGAAGAAGCACCGCCUAACUCCGUGCCAGCAGCCGCGGUAAGACGGAGGGUGCUAGCGUUGUUCGGAAUCACUGGGCGUAAAGGGCGCGUAGGCGGCUUGGACAGUCAGAUGUGAAAGCCCGGGGCUCAACCCCGGAACGGCAUUUGAUACUGCCAGGCUGGAGGUCGGAAGAGGAGGGUGGAAUAUCCAGUGUAGAGGUGAAAUUCGUAGAUAUUGGAUGGAACACCGGUGGCGAAAGCGGCUCUCUGGUCCGAACCUGACGCUGAGGCGCGAAAGCGUGAGGAGCAAACAGGAUUAGAUACCCCCGUAGUCC